GACGAACGCUGGCGGCGUGCUUAACACAUGCAAGUCGAACGGAAAGGCCCUGCUUUUGUGGGGUGCUCGAGUGGCGAACGGGUGAGUAACACGUGAGUAACCUGCCCUUGACUUUGGGAUAACUUCAGGAAACUGGGGCUAAUACCGGAUAGGAGCUCCUGCUGCAUGGUGGGGGUUGGAAAGUUUCGGCGGUUGGGGAUGGACUCGCGGCUUAUCAGCUUGUUGGUGGGGUAGUGGCUUACCAAGGCUUUGACGGGUAGCCGGCCUGAGAGGGUGACCGGCCACAUUGGGACUGGGAUACGGCCCAGACUCCUACGGGAGGCAGCAGUGGGGAAUAUUGCACAAUGGGCGGAAGCCUGAUGCAGCAACGCCGCGGGCGGGAUGACGGCCUUCGGGUUGUAAACCGCUUUCGCCUGUGACGAAGCGUGAGUGACGGUAAUGGGUAAAGAAGCACCGGCUAACUACGUG
rnacentral:rRNA from 1 species